UUGUGCCUUGAAAACUAAGGAGAAAUCAGCGGAUUUUGAUUCCGCCAUUCGGAGGUUCGAUCCCUCCCGCCCCAGCCA
rnacentral:tRNA from 1 species